rnacentral:rRNA from 1 species
AGAAUCAACGCUGGCGGCGUGCCUAACACAUGCAAGUCGCACGAGAAAGGGGAGCAAUCCCUGAGUAAAGUGGCGCACGGGUGAGUAACACGUGAAUCAUCUACCUCCGAGUGGGGAAUAACCUAGAGAAAUCUGGGCUAAUACCGCAUAACACUUACGAGUCAAAGCAGCAAUGCGCUUGGAGAGGAGUUCGCGGCAGAUUAGUUAGUUGGCGGGGUAAUGGCCCACCAAGACGAUGAUCUGUA